GUGGGGAAUAUUGCGCAAUGGGGGAAACCCUGACGCAGCAACGCCGCGUGAGCGAUGAAGGUCUUCGGAUUGUAAAGCUCUGUCUUUGGGGACGAUAAUGACGGUACCCAAGGAGGAAGCCACGGCUAACUACGUGCCAGCAGCCGCGGUAAUACGUAGGUGGCAAGCGUUGUCCGGAUUUACUGGGCGUAAAGAGUAUGUAGGCGGACAUUUAAGUCAGAUGUGAAAUUCCCGGGCUUAACCUGGGAGCUACAUUUGAUACUGGGUGUCUAGAGUGCAGGAGAGGAAAGUGGAAUUCCUAGUGUAGCGGUGAAAUGCGUAGAGAUUAGGAAGAACACCAGUGGCGAAGGCGACUUUCUGGACUGUAACUGACGCUGAGAUACGAAAGCGUGGGGAGCAAACAGGAUUAGAAACCCGAGUAGUCC
rnacentral:rRNA from 1 species